CGGGAGGGAGGGCGCGCGGGAGGCGGCCCCUCCUCGGCGAGCCAUGCGUGCCGCCGGCAGCUGAGCCGCUGCCGGGCGCUGCUGCCAAGUCUGCGCUCCGCUUUUGUCUUGCCCUCCAGUGAAUGGGAAGAUGGAGAUGGAUGUUGAGGGAGUUUCUCCGCGCGAGGAUCCCAUCCCCCGCUCCCAGGGGGCUGGCGGAGCCUGCCAAGCGCCGCCACAGCCGCCCCAGCCCCAGCCCCCGCCGCCGCCGCAGCAGCCGGCUCCGGAUGAACCGCCCGGCGAGAGCGCGGGCACGGAGGACAGCGACGAUCCCGAUCCUGAGGCGAGACCUGACAGCGAGAAGGGAGAGAGCAAGGUAGGUCCACCUCGUUGGCUCUGUGACACCUUUUGAACCAAACCAAGGCGCUCUUGUAGCGGCUGUCACUUAACCCCUUCUCUCCCCCACCCUGUUCCCUCGCCUGUGUGGUGGCGGGGGUUGCAGAUGUGGGGAAAGCGUGAGAUUGAAGGGAAUCGAUGGGCGACCGCUACUUUCCGAAGGGGAAGGCGUGUACAGAAGUCUGUCCGGGUUUCAGUAUCCAGUGUUAUGUGCAGAGAAAAGUCUUCUGGUGCUUGCGCUGUGAUGCUGGGUAGAGCACAGCGCCUCGGGAGAGCAGGAUGGAGAGACCUUUGCUUGCCUGCACCCUAUCACUAAGGCUUAUUUGGAUGAUCUAGGUCAAGGGGAAACAGGAGCUGUCAAGUGGCUUCUCAGACUCCUUGAAGGGAGGUGGCUUGAACCUAAAGAUGACAACAAUGGGAGCAAAGUUUGGCUCUUUUGCAGAAUGGAAAGCGCUGCCUCACCCAGCUCUAAGCUGGAGGUCCUGCUCCUCCCCUGGCAUCCUUCUGCUUCUCUCAGCGGGGCAGGGACCAGGUGCCUGGCAUCAGGUGAGCCCUGGAAAUCUUUCGCGGCCCUGCUGUGUCAUUGUAGACCAGGAGAUAGCGGCUACUGGCAGCGGAGAGAGGAAUUCCUCAGACUGUCUGAUGUUUCUGCCAGUUGUGAGGAGCGAGGAAGCCAGUGCCUGACAAAUACUACAGCAGGUGAAAGGAGGACUGAAAGUGGGUUGAUGACAUUUCCUUAAUUAGCAUGUUCAGAUAAUUGAGUAUUCCACAGAUGUGAUUUGCUUUCUCUAUGCCUUCAGUUUCUUGAGGUGGAAACAAGAUACUUUUUUCCCUCCAGGUGUUUGCCUGAAAAAAUUAUGUUACACCCAUCCCUUCACCCAGAAAUCAGCUGCGUUAACCCUUUGCUUAUUUCUGCUACUGGCCUCCUGGUUGCUCUGAGAGUUUGAGGUUGGUUGCUGUGUCUCAGACUUUAAUAACUCUUUCCGUCUUUGUGGCUACUAAGGCAUGUUUUACAUUGAUUUUUCUUAGCAAAUCCUAGUUUCAUUAGUGGGAAGGCCUUUGGGUGUCUGAUCAAAUGAUUCUACUAAAAUAGAAGACAAACUGGAAUCAAGCUGUGUGGGAUAAAGUUGGGAGAUGAUCACGGUAAUGCACAAAUGUAUUAAUGUAUUGGACCAUUGUGUUUGCUCCUCAUUCAUGUGUAUAAUAAAAAACGAAUUUGAAAUACUGUAUUAUUUAUC
ensembl:lncRNA